rnacentral:rRNA from 1 species
UGGGGAAUUUUGGACAAUGGGCGCAAGCCUGAUCCAGCCAUGCCGCGUGCAGGAUGAAGGCCUUCGGGUUGUAAACUGCUUUUGUACGGAACGAAAAGGUGCCUUCUAAUAAAGGGCGCUCAUGACGGUACCGUAAGAAUAAGCACCGGCUAACUACGUGCCAGCAGCCGCGGUAAUACGUAGGGUGCGAGCGUUAAUCGGAAUUACUGGGCGUAAAGCGUGCGCAGGCGGUUUUGUAAGACAGAGGUGAAAUCCCCGGGCUCAACCUGGGAACUGCCUUUGUGACUGCAAGGCUGGAGUGCGGCAGAGGGGGAUGGAAUUCCACGUGUAGCAGUGAAAUGCGUAGAGAUGUGGAGGAACACCGAUGGCGAAGGCAGCCCCCUGGGCCUGUACUGACGCUCAUGCACGAAAGCGUGGGGAGCAAACA